CUUCCAAAACGAAUAAACCUGAAAACCAGCAAUUACAUGUUUCUCCACAGUAAAGAAGCACACAAAAUAUCAAAGAGAAAACUACAGAAAGUUCAUUCCAAAACAACGUAACUGUCUUUGAAUGAAGAAGCUAACGGGAAAGCUCACAUAUCAUAUUACUUGAAAAACGUAAACCUGUCUAUUGAUCUAUAUGUGAAGAAUGCAUACUAUUAGAUCUUCAGUUAUGUUAUGCAUAAAAAGUUUAUUCAAAAGUAAAGCAAUCCAAGAAUACAUUUCAGAACUGCCUUGAUUCUAUGAUGUUAAAGUGAAAUCCUACUUCCACAAGAAAAAAGAUGGACCCAAACUAAAAGAUUUUGGCAAUAAAAAAUAAUUUCAGAAGCUUCAUCACAAAAAGAAAUGAUCGAUAGAACAUUUCUAAAGAAAAACUNGUGGUCCAGCAGGAAAACAAACGGCCCACAACUUGAGGCCCAGUAACGUGUGAGACAAAAAUCUCACUGGAAGCUUCUGAUGGUCAGAGGUUUGGUGAGAUGGUGUUCGUGAGCCANCUGCGAAAGGAAGAGAAAAAUGGGAUCUCCAUGUCCGUCCAGCAAGAGCACCGGCGACGGUGGUGGAUCGGAAGGAGGACGACGGGAAAGACAACCCGCGACAGAGAGGGGUUUAAUGGGCGUUUUGUCUUUAGUAAAAAAAAAAGAAAAAUGUUUGAUGAGGAGGUACAACAGGAUCGCGUGCUGGAGGUAAGGGGCAGAAAAACGGUUUCUGCUGCAGGUGAGGACGCGAUUUGUUUUUGCAGAUACGGUUUGGAUUGGCAGAGAAAAAAAAUAAAGAAACAGUGUUGGCCCAGUUAUCGGCAGAGAGAAGGCCCAAAAUGAAUGGCCCAAGUAUGAGAUAAAAUAUCUCACUCGAACAUUCUGAAGUCAGAGUUAGAUGAGUGCCAAAGUCUUCGAGCCAGCAGCGAGAUGAGGAUGAAGAAUGGGAAUCUGAUCGAAGCUCCGAUGCGAAAGACGACGGGGACGAAGAGCUCCGGCGUGACAGACGACUGCGGCAAAUGAUCGGAAAAGAGAAAGGAAUCGAAGAGCGCGCGUUCAAAAGGUUACUGAAAAAAGGUGGAGCAAGAGAGCUGAGAGGGGAACGACAAAAGGGGAAUUGGGAAUUAUCAUCCAGCUGGAUUGGGAGAGCAUUGGCCAUCGAGAAAAAGCAACAACAAAAAAGGAAGUCUUCAGCCAAGAGAAGAGAGGAAUACACCGUGUUACAGUUAUUCAGCUUUCAACUACAGAGAAAACGAAGCCAGCAAAAGGAAGGGGAGGUCGCCGGAGGCACAGUAACAAAUAGUAAUUCAAUGCAGGGUUAUAAUAAUUAAGACCCAUUAAUGAAUCAGCAACCUCAAUAACCAAGUGAACAUGAAAGAAAAAAUAUAUAGAAUGAAAGAGAAAAAAAUAUUGUUCUCUUUUCAAUGAUUUGAAACCAGAGAAUGCAAGCAAGUUAUUGAGGUUGCUGAUUCAUUAAUGGGUCUUGAACAUUAUAACCCUGCAUUGAAAUACUAUUUGAUUUUGGAAGGAAAUAUUGGAAACGAAAAUGUAUGGUAACUCCUGUCCAUGUAUGCUAAUUAUUGGUUUAAUUUUAUAGAUUAAUGUGCUUAAUUAAGUGUGUUGGGACUGAAAAGUGUAUGGGAGGAAAAGGUAUAGGAGAGAAAGAGAAGAGGGUCGAACCGUAGAAGACAGGACCGAAAGAUAGAUAAGGGGGGAAAACCAGACUGGACGGUAGAAGGAGAGGAACAAGUUGACCUAAGGCUGCUGAGAGGAUCUUGGCCUCGCUUGGUGGAGCUCUUCUAUCCUUGGAUUGAAGGGGUACCCUAAAGUCCUCCCAUGUUAAGAAUGUUGGUCUUGGCUCAAGGUUGGAGACUUCUAAAGAAAAGCCAUCUGGGUUGUAAAAGUCUCAUCAUGCCUUACAUGUUAAGUCUAUUUAUACUUGGCAUUUUGCUACAUGUAAAUGGUUUAUAUCAAAGCAUCAAUCCCUCUAAAGUUGUAUGAUAUUGUAUGAUAAAGUGACUACACUUUCUCCUAUCGUUCGAUCCAUCAUCCUUCUCGCCUUCGUCCUCCUUCAUUGUGUGUUAAUAGAGCCUUGGCUUCCUUCUGGCUUCCCCUCUCGUUGAUAGUUUAGUCAUUCUAUCAUCCUCAUCAGUUCUUGGAAACUCCUUUGCAUUGUCACCUCCAAAUUUCCCAUGGAAAGCUCCAUGUUCUCUAGUUUCACUUCGACCACAUUCAUUCUUCCCUCCAUGAUAUCUACUACUCCUUUCAAUUUGUAUCUGGCUAGCCUUUCACUCCUUUCUAUCGGAUCUGGCAGGUUAGAUCAAUUCUUGCGUACCUGAGUAUGGGAUGUAACUAGAAAGCUUCCUAACACACAAACAAGGAACAAUGGACAAUAACUGAAUAAACCUCUUUUAUUGAAUGGAAAUAACUGAAUCAAAGAAAGCAAACAAUAAUUGCAAGCAGGAUCUCCGUCAGUUACCUGAGAACAUAACCUCUCUUACAAAACUCACAAAUCAAAAGCAUGCCUUAAACCCUAGACUUUUUUAUUUAUACUAGUUAAUUCUCUCCCAAAACGUACUGAAUCUUAGAAAAUAAUCCUAUUUACUAUAAUUGUCUAAUACGAAUAUAUUUAAUUGACUGAUACGAAUACAUGUAGCCUUAUUUACUAUAUUUAACUUAUACCGAAUAAUAUACUGAGAUAUGACUUUGUUACUCUAAUUAUCUUUUGCUGAAUAUCUCUCUUGUUACUCUAAUUAACUUCCCGCACAUCCUAACCGCGGUGGCAGUUAGGAUGCUUCCUUGCUGCUUCCAUCCGUUCGGCCAACUCGCUUCCCGCCUUCCAUCGUUCGGCUUGGUCGUCUCCUCUUAUCUACCGUUCAGCCUGGUCGUCCCCCUUGUCUACCGUUUGGUCAACUUGUUCCCCUCCUUCUACCGUUUGUCCCCAUUAUCUAUCGUUCGGUCCCUGUCUUGUCUUCUACCGUUCGGCCCUUUUCUCUUUCUCUCCUAUACAUCUUCCUCUCAUACACUUUCCAGCCCCUGACACACCUAAUUAAGCAAAUUACUGGUAUAAAAUUAAACCAAUAAUUGGCAUACAUGGGCAGGAGUUACCAUGCAUUUUCGUUUCCAAUAUUUCCUUCCAACAUCAAAUAGUAAUUCAAUGCAGAGUUAUAAUGUUCAAGACCCAUUAAUGAAUCAGCAAUCUCAAUAACCAAGUCAACAUACUCACUUGGAUUCUCUGGUUUCAAAUCAUUGAAGAGAACCUAGUAAUCAAAUGAAAUGUUAAGUAAUACAUAAAAAUGAGAACAAAGUCAAAAGAAAGAUUCAUACACUGUCAUUACAUGUAUUAUUAGACAUUUUCUUGCACUCCAACAUUGUAUGAAAUUAAGUUAAUGAGAAACAUGGAAAAAGUAACUUAAAAAUAAUGAUAUAAUGUGCUUCAGAAAUGGGGUUGGAGAAGAAAGAGAGUUGUACAUGAUUACAAAGACUAUGACAUUAAUCUUUUUUCUUAAGAAAAGAAGACAUUUUAUAAGGAAAAAAAUUAUAUACAAGAUGACCAUAAAGUUAAGUUUUCUUAUUUAGAAUAAAAAGGAGAGAGAACAAAAAUCUACGUAAAAUAGGAAAUCAGCAAAACAUUACAUGCAAAUCUCAUUCAAAACCCAAGCUUUAUAAUGAAUAUAUUACAUGGAGGGAAAAUUAUGGUGUAUAAGUAACAAUGUGUGUUACACAUAAAUUGGUCAAGACACAGGAAAGAAAGAACAUAUAGAAUGAAAGAGAAAAAAAUCAAGAUAACUAAGAAAGUCUAAACUAAAUACUCAUCCAAAGACACGAAAGAAUAUUAAUUAACCUAACCUAAUAUAUGAGGUUUAAACAAGAUUAAAAGGGGUCAUCAUCAAGAAAAAUGCACUAAAUUCAAUUAUAAGUAAGCAUGAGUUACACUUGUUCAAGAUGAGCAUGGCAAAUUCCAGUCUUAAUUUUCAAAUUAAGGCUCACAGAUAUUUGAAAAUUAAGGCUGGAAUUUGUCAUGCUCAUCUUAGGAAAAUGGAUAUGGCUCAAGUGUGACUCAUGCUUACUUAUAAUUGAAUUUAGUGUGUUUUUCUUGAUCAUGUUCCCUUUUAAUCUUGCUUGAACCUCAUAUAUUAAGUUAGGUUAAUGGAUAUUCUUUGGUGUCUUUGGAUUUGGAUGAGUAUUUAGUUUAGACUUUCUUAGUUAUCUUGAUUUUUUUCUCUUUCAUUCUAUAUGUUCUUUCUUUCCUGUGUCUUGACCAAUUUAUGUGUAACACACAUUGUUACUUAUGUGUAACCCUACUUCCUCUGUCUUCUAAGGCUGCUGAGAGGAUCUUGGCCUCGCUUGGUGGAGCUCCUCUAUCCUUGGAUUGGAGGGGUACCCUAAAGUCCUCCCAAGUUAAGAAUGUUGGUCUUAGCUCAAAGUUGGAGACUUCUAAAGAAAAGCCAUCUGGGUUGUAAAAGACUCAUGCCUUACAUGUUAAGUCUAUUAAAUCUAUACUUGGCAUUUUGCUACAUAUAAAUUGUUUAUAUCAAAGCAUCAAUCCCUCUAAAGUUGUAUGAUAAAGUGACUACACUUUUUCCUUGCAUUUAUGUGUGAGUUA